rnacentral:rRNA from 1 species
AGCGAACGUUUGCGGCGGGCUUAACACAUGCAAGUCGAACGAGAAUCCCUUCGGGGAGGAAAGUGGCGCACGGGUGCGUAACACGUGGAUAACCAACCCAUUGGUUUGGGACAACACCGGGAAACUGGUGCUAAUACCAGAUGUGUCGCAGCUGUCUUCAGGCGGUUGCGAGAAAGGCCCGCAAGGGUCGCCAACGGACGGGUCCGCGUCCCAUCAGCUAGUUGGUGAGGUAAUGGCUCACCAAGGCAAAGACGGGUAGGCUGGUCUGAGAGGAGUGAUCAGCCACACUGGAACUGAGACACGGUCCAGACUCCUACGGGAGGCAGCAGUGGGGAAGUAAUUGCGCAAUAGGGCGAAAGACCUGACGCAGCCACGCCGCGUGAGCGAUGAAGGUCUUCGGAUCGUAAAGCUCUGUGGGGGGAGGAAGAAGAAAGCCGGUGAAGAGCCGGCCCUGAC